UACGUAGGGUGCAAGCGUUGUCCGGAAUUAUUGGGCGUAAAGCGCUCGCAGGCGGCUUGCUACGUCGUGCGUGAAACACCCCGGCUCAACUGGGGAGGGUCGUGCGAUACGGGCAGGCUGGAGGCCAGUAGGGGGAUGCGGAAUUCCGGGUGUAGUGGUGGAAUGCGUAGAGAUCCGGAGGAACACCAGCGGCGAAGGCGGCAUCCUGGACUGGUACUGACGCUCAGGAGCGAAAGCGUGGGGAGCGAGUCCGG
rnacentral:rRNA from 1 species